rnacentral:rRNA from 1 species
GAUGAACGCUGGCGGCGUGCCUAACACAUGCAAGUCGAGCGAGGGUUUGCUCAGUAUUGAGUAUUCUAAGUCUAGAAUGUUCAAUUCUGAGCAAAACCAAGCGGCGGACGGGUGAGUAACGCGUGGGUAACCUGCCCUAUACACAUGGAUAACAUACUGAAAAGUUUACUAAUACAUGAUAAUAUAUAUUUGCGGCAUCGCAGAUAUAUCAAAGUGUUAGCGGUAUAGGAUGGACCCGCGUCUGAUUAGCUAGUUGGUGAGAUAACUGCCCACCAAGGCGACGAUCAGUAGCCGACCUGAGAGGGUGAUCGGCCACAUUGGAACUGAGACACGGUCCAAACUCCUACGGGAGGCAGCAGUGGGGAAUAUUGCACAAUGGGCGAAAGCCUGAUGCAGCAACGCCGCGUGAACGAUGAAGGUCUUCGGAUCGUAAAGUUCUGUUGC